UGAGGAAUAUUGGUCAAUGGUCGAGAGACUGAACCAGCCAAGUCGCGUGAAGGAUGACUGCCCUAUGGGUUGUAAACUUCUUUUACAAGGGAAUAAAAUGAGAUACGUGUAUUUUAUUGCAUGUACCUUGUGAAUAAGCAUCGGCUAACUCCGUGCCAGCAGCCGCGGUAAUACGGAGGAUGCGAGCGUUAUCCGGAUUUAUUGGGUUUAAAGGGUGCGUAGGUGGGCUGUUAAGUCAGCGGUGAAAGUUUGUCGCUUAACGAUAAAAUUGCCGUUGAAACUGGUAGUCUUGAGUAUAGAUGAAGUAGGCGGAAUGCGUGGUGUAGCGGUGAAAUGCAUAGAGAUCACGCAGAACUCCUAUUGCGAAGGCAGCUUACUAAGGUAUAACUGACACUGAAGCACGAAAGCGUGGGUAUCAAACAGG
rnacentral:rRNA from 1 species